rnacentral:lncRNA from 1 species
AGUAUAGAAAUAUAAUGUAUAUAGUGCUUAAUCUCUAAAAUUACGAGGACAAUUUAUUGAAGCGUUCAGCUGAUAAACAAUAAAGAAACAUAAGGAUCAAAUCAUUCAGUUAUUAUGUCAACAUUAGCCUUUCAGUAAUCAAUAAUAUUUCUUAGAAUCUUAAUAAAUUAAUAAUUAGUAAUAAAAUAAUCUUCUAAGUUUUACAAAAGGAGUUUGGUAUUAGAUGUCCUGAAAAUCCAGCGCUUCUAAAGUCGUCGCCAAGAUUGGAAACAAACCAAAUGGUCAAGGAUAUGUUUUAAGCACCUCAUGGACUCUGACAUCAUUAAGCAUAAAGUUAAGUGCACUCUUGUUAUCUAUUGAUGGAGAAGAUCCCCCCAUUUUUGACUUUCCAAUGCACUUAAAAAAAAGUUGAGUCCCUUCGACGAAUCUUAAAGCGAAGAAGUUAUGAAGAAGACAGUAAUAAAAAAGGAAUUCUGAUGACCUGAUUGAAAAAAGGCCAACUGUAAAUAUAGUCAUUACUCAUACAUAUCAAGAUAGCAGCUGUGUUUGAUAGUUGUCAUAUCUUAUUCAGUUUAAGAAUCAAUAAUUUGCAAAAUAUCAAUAAUAUGUUGAAAGACUUAAUUUUUUUAUUUAAUAUUUUGGUGAAUAAAUGAUACUUCAUUU